rnacentral:misc_RNA from 1 species
UCAGGUUUGACACCGGCAGUCUCCUUAGAGUUCCCAGCAUAACCUGAUGGCAACUAAGGACAAGGGUUGCGCUCGUUACGGGACUUAACCCAACAUCUCACGGCACGAGCUGACGACAGCCAUGCACCACCUGUCGGGGGCCCUUACGGACACUGCAUCUCUGCAGCUUUUCCCCUGAUGUCAAACCCAGGUAAGGUUCUUCGCGUUGCCUCGAAUUAAGCCACAUGCUCCGCCGCUUGUGCGGGUCCCCGUCAAUUCCUUUGAGUUUCAGCCUUGCGGCCGUACUCCCCAGGCGGGGCACUUAUCGCGUUAGCUGCGACACGGAAGGGGUCGAUCCCACCCGCGUCUAGUGCCCAUCGUUUACGGCGUGGACUAC